ACGGGAGGCAGCAGUAGGGAAUCUUGCGCAAUGGGCGAAAGCCUGACGCAGCGACGCCGCGUGCGGGACGAAGGCCCUCGGGUUGUAAACCGCUUUCAGCAGGGACGAAGCGAGAGUGACGGUACCUGCAGAAGAAGGUCCGGCCAACUACGUGCCAGCAGCCGCGGUAAUACGUAGGGACCGAGCGUUGUCCGGAUUCAUUGGGCGUAAAGAGCUCGUAGGCGGCUGCUCAAGUCGAAUGUGAAAACUCGAGGCUCAACCUCGAGCCUGCAUUCGAUACUGGGCGGCUAGAGUCUGGUAGGGGGAUCUGGAAUUCCUGGUGUAGCGGUGGAAUGCGCAGAUAUCAGGAGGAACACCGGUGGCGAAGGCGGGAUCCUGGGCCAGUACUGACGCUGAGGAGCGAAAGCGUGGGGAGCAAACAGGAUUAGAUACCCUGGUA
rnacentral:rRNA from 1 species